rnacentral:rRNA from 1 species
GAUGAACGCUGGCGGCGUGCCUAACACAUGCAAGUCGAGCGGCAGCGCGAGUAGUUUACUACUUGGCGGCGAGCGGCGGACGGCUGAGUAACGCGUGGGAAUUUGCCCCAAAGUGAGGAAUAACUGCCCGAAAGGGUGGCUAAUGCCGCAUAUGAUCUUCGGAUUAAAGGAUUUAUCCGCUUUGGGAGAAGCCCGCGUCGGAUUAGGUAGUUGGUGAGGUAAUGGCUCACCAAGCCGACGAUCCGUAGCUGGUCUGAGAGGAUGACCAGCCAGACUGGAACUGAGACACGGUCCAGACUCCUACGGGAGGCAGCAGUGAGGAAUCUUCCACAAUGGGCGAAAGCCUGAUGGAGCAACGCCGCGUGCAGGAUGAAGGCCUUCGGGUUGUAAACUGCUUUUAUAAGUGAGGAAUAUGACGGUAGCUUAUGAAUAAGGAUCGCUAA